GGGCGGUGUAUCGGGAGCUACCGCGGAAGUCAGGUGCCUGCGGGCGGGCAGCGUGAAAUUAAACGCGGAGAGAACAGUGAGGGGCGCGGCAGUGGGCUGCGAUGGAGGCUGAGGCCCGUACUCUGAGGAGGUGAAUCCAGCCGCGGCUCUAUGUCUCUAACCGGCAGGACGGUCUGGUGGUGGGUCCGGCUGCGCCGGCCCUGCCUUACGGCCGCCCCUCGGGGCCCUGCGGUCUGGCUGCCCACGGGGCUUGCGGCCUGCCAGCGGUUCUACAGCUCCCGCGACAAGGAAAAAAUAGAUAUGUCAGCAUAUCCUGUUGAAAGCAUAAGAAACUUCAGUAUUAUAGCUCAUGUAGAUCAUGGCAAAAGUACACUAGCAGAUAGAUUGUUGGAAAUUACAGGAACAAUUGCUAAAACUGACCGUAACAAACAAGUGCUGGAUAAACUGCAAGUGGAACGUGAAAGGGGAAUUACAGUUAAAGCACAAUCUGCAUCUCUCUUUUACAAUUACAAAGGAGUAAACUACCUCUUAAAUCUUAUUGACACACCAGGCCACGUUGAUUUCAACUAUGAAGUUUCACGGUCACUAUCUGCCUGCCAAGGUGUCCUACUUGUAGUAGAUGCAAAUGAGGGUAUUCAGGCUCAGACAGUGGCAAACUUCUAUCUUGCUUUUGAAGCACAACUUGCGAUAAUUCCUGUCAUAAACAAGAUUGACUUAAAGAAUGCAGACCCUGAAAGAGUUGAAAAACAAAUUGAGAAGCUGUUUGAUAUCCCUGUUAAUGAAUGUAUAAGGAUUUCUGCUAAACAAGGGACAAAUAUUGAUAAAGUUCUUGAAAAGGUCAUUGAGAAGAUUCCACCACCUCAAUGUAAUACUACUGAUCCCUUGAAAGCCUUAGUAUUCGACUCUACCUUCGACCACUACCGAGGUGUCGUAGCUAACAUUGCAGUUUUUGGUGGGGAGAUUCAGAAAGGGCAUAGAAUUGUCUCUGCGCAUACAAAUAAAAGAUAUGAAGUUAAUGAAGUAGGAAUUCUGACUCCGAAUGAACAGCCAACACAUAAACUAUAUGCUGGACAGGUGGGCUACCUGAUUGCUGGAAUGAAAGAAGUAACAGAAGCCCAAAUAGGAGACACGCUGUUCAUGUAUAAACAGCCGGUGGAACCUUUGCCUGGCUUUAAGUCAGCAAAGCCAAUGGUUUUUGCAGGAAUGUAUCCUGUAGAUCAAACAGAAUAUAAUAAUCUUAAAAGUGCUUUGGAAAGGCUGACAUUGAACGAUUCCAGUGUGACUGUUCAUCGUGACAGUAGCCUUGCUUUAGGAGCUGGAUGGAGGUUGGGUUUUCUUGGUCUUUUGCAUAUGGAAGUUUUUAAUCAACGUUUGGAACAAGAAUAUAACACAUCUGUUAUUUUGACUGCACCUACUGUUCCAUAUAAAGCUGUUCUUUCCUCAGCAAAGUUGAUAAAGGAGCAUGGUAAAUCAGAGAUUACUAUUAUCAACCCUGCUCAAUUUCCUGAUAAACAUUCAGUGUCUGAAUAUUUGGAGCCAACUGUUCUUGGCACUAUUAUAACACCUCAGGAAUAUAUUGGGAAAAUAAUUGUUUUGUGUCAGGAUCGUAGGGCAGUCCAGAAAGAAAUGUUGUACAUUGAUGAACAUAGGGUUAUGCUAAAAUACCUUUUCCCACUGAAUGAAAUCGUGGUGGAUUUUUAUGAUGCUCUUAAGUCCCUGUCUUCUGGCUAUGCAAGUUUUGAUUAUGAAGAUGCAGGCUACCAGGCAGCAGAUCUUAUCAAAAUGGAUAUUCUUAUAAAUGGAAAUCCAGUUGAAGAACUGUCAACUAUCAUACACAAUGAUAAAGCAUAUGCUACUGGCAAAUACCUGUGUGAGCGGUUAAAAGAUGCUAUACCAAGACAGCUGUUUGAAAUAGCCAUCCAGGCUGCUAUUGGCAAGAAAAUAAUCGCCAGGGAAACAUUGAAAGCUUACAGGAAAAAUGUUGUGGCAAAAUGUUAUGGUGGAGACAUUACAAGAAGAAUGAAGCUUUUAAAAAGGCAAGCAGAAGGGAAGAAGCUGAUGAGAAAAAUUGGCAAUGUGGAAGUACCAAGAGAUGCCUUCAUACGUGUUUUAAAGAGACAGCCUGAGAAAUAAGUUAGUGACAUGCAGCAGAUCAUUGUCUUAACUUCUUAGAGACAGUUUUCAUCAGGAAAUAAUGAUGUUGGGAAAUCACAGCAGGAAAAACAAAUUACGCAUUUCUCAGGAAGCAAAACUGAUUCAAGUCUUUCAUGCUGAAUUUAUAUUGACAUGCUAAAAGCUGUUGGUAAGUUCUUUGAAACUGCAGUGAAAAAUCUACACAGUUUACUUUAGGAAAAGUUUAUCAUCCUAUUAUAGUAAUAGUGACACAAAAGGAUACUCUUAUCUUUAAAUCUGUAAGUGCCAAAAUUUAAAUGACCUAGUAUAUGAAGCUAUUCUUACCCAGAUUUCACUGGCCAAGACUUAGGCUAGAAUAUAUAGUUAUGUAAUACUUGGCUACUCAUGUAGUUAUCUGAAAAGACAAGAGAGUAUAGGCUGUUCAGAGCAAACUACAUUUGGGUUUUACAUAUUGACACACAAGAAAUUAUCCUAUCAAAAUAAGAAAUUAAACUAGCUGUCUGUUCCAACAGAAUUCUGUACUUUGUGCUGUGUUAAGUCUAUACCUACUUUAAACAAAUAUUUCAGUUAACUUUUUGAAAGUGGCAAAAUUUGUUUUUAUCAUUUAAGGCAGCAAAUACCCUUAACUACAGUAUGUAUGUUAUAAACUAGUAAAGAAUACUCUUCAGUAAGCAUGUUAGAGGCCACCACUUCUUAAAGCACAAAACUAUGCAGCAAAACAAGAACAACUUAUUAACAUUUAAAUUGAAGAAUUUAGUUUAAGUUAGGCUCAGUCAGUGGAUCACAAAAAUAAUAAAAGCCACAGAUGGUUCUUAGUCUCUUCCUUCAAUGAAGAUGACAAAAUACUGAACCUCUCCCCUCCACAUCAGAAACAAAACAAUUUGGAAACGAUACAUUUAAGUUUUACUUACUCAAAGGAGGAAAUAACAUUCCUUGUGACAGUUCAAUAUUUAUAGUGAUACAGUAAGAGGUAAUUAUUACAGAGUGGUUAACAGCAGGCUUUAAUACAUGAUCAUUUAAAUCUGUAGACUUCAUGUUCCUAUAAAUUAACUUAUUUGUAGGCAUUUAAUGACACCAUCCAAUACAAUUAAACAUAUCCAGAAAGGAACAUUUAGAUUUUUCCUUAUAUAUAAAGCACAAUUACUAAAAAUAUAAAAACCCUAAAGUAAUUUGAAAUACAUGAGAGGAAGAAGUGCUAUGGCAGACAUUUAAUGUAAGUAACCAGAGUAAGUUAUAACACUUGCAAGAACUGGGUGCAUUUUUAGGCACUGUUUUUGUAUCUUUAUUUGCCUGAAUUGUACAGCAGGACUUGAGAUGCCCAAAAACUGUUUGUAUAAGAUAAAUUUAAGGCAAUCAAGUGCAAAAGCUCAGUGUGCAUUAUGUAAACAGAACAUUUCAUAGUAGAAAUUGUACAGCUAUUACAAGUCCAUAGUAUUUAACAAAGGCCAAAACCAUUCUGCCUAGAAAUACAAAUGCAAAGUGUAGUUGCACUAAUGGAGGCCACAAUUACAGAUUAUUGGAAAUAAUCUAUCACUUCCUCUAACAGGCAGAUGCAGUGCAUUGCUGUGCUAAAAUAAGUGCUCUGUCCCACCCCCCUCCACCCCUAUAUAACAUGCAGCCUCCCACAGGCUUGUUCUGUUCCAUUUAGUUACUGUAACAGCCAGAGGUCUAAAUAUUAAAGCAAAAUGCACAACACCAAAUAGAGAUGGAAUGUGAAUGUACAUAUAUUGGACCUUUUAAAAAAAAAUACAGUACCUAGGAUUUCCCAUUUUAAACAGUUUUCAGUAUAUUGCAUAGCAGUGAACUCAUCUGCUACCUAAAACUGUUGCUGUUGACCUACAUGCAGUUCCUCUUCAAUUCUUCUUUCAGUUUUCUUUCAUACUGUACAGUGGGUCCACGAGUUUAUUGUGCACAUGCAUUAAACCUUGAGGGGAAAGCAACAAUGCCAGCUUUACAUAAUUUUUAAGAUACUUUUUCCAACAUGUCUUCCUAUCCAUACCUUUGGAGCUAACUUCAAAGUAUACAUUUUAAACAGUUCACUGAAAAGUAGUUUAAAAGCAAAAGUAAUUAAGACAAUAUAUGCUAAUUAUGUAUUUUUUCCUGUAUCACUUAAAUAUUAUUGCCAUCUUCAGUAUAAACUAAAGAAAUGAGACAGCAAUGACCACAGACCAGUUAAAAAGAUCUGGAAUACUUUCAUAUCAAUUAAACACCUGAUGAGAGAUACAUCUCUCUCUUUUUUAUUAAUAAAUGCUUAACAGCAACACAUACAAGAAUUUGUUGUAACAAUCAGAUUCACACAUACUAAUAGUUUUACAGCUUGAGUUACAAUAUUCUAGCACUGUGGUAUCUUGGUAACUAAGUGUCCUUCUGGUCCUAGACAAACAAAACCAAGCACAGAGACUGUUAAUGAAUAUAUAGAACUGGAGUAGUUCAACUAUUUCCUAUUCUAACAGGUUGGGUUUCUUUUGAUCAUACACAAAUCAUCCAUAGGUGUGACUUGGAGGUUUUGUGUGUUCCCCCCUCCCCUCCUCAGAAAAUGUUGGGAAGUGCUGGGAAGAUCCAUUAAAAGCAGCCAUGUUGUUUACUUUGUUACAACUUCGUAAAACAUUACCUACAAAGUAUUACCAAUGCAUGGCAUUCAGUCACUGGUACAUUUUUAACCUUAUUUAACCUUACAGACUGGUAACAAUAUCUGGUCAACAUUCUCAAUCUGUAAAGUGCCUAGUUUAGAACCAUACUGAAGAUUUGCUUCAACUACUACAAAUAGGCAACAUUAAAAGCAGAGAUCCUUAAAAUCCAUAAAAGAAAUUUGACAGUAAGUGUACAUUUUAAUAGUCAUCUGCUGGAAAGAAUAUAUGAAUACCCUUGCUAUAUCAUGUGUCUGGCAGCAAACAUUGCAUCCCUACAAACUAACCUCACAGUCUGAAUCAUUAAGUAUUUUCAUUUCUGGUGUAUUUCACAAAUCUACUAUUCUUUUCUCCACUAGGUGGACCAUACAGCCAUACUAGAAAGCCAACACAUCUAAAACAGACUGAAGAACCCAGCUUUUUGUUUCUGGAGUUUUUCAAAUCUUUUCAAAGCGCUUUACAGAGAAACAACUCUGUGCUACAAGAGAACUACAUUCAAGCAUUACCAGAAGUAUAAUCAGCAAACACAGUAUUUUAAAUAUGGCAUUUGUUAUCAAUGAUGUAAACACAGUUCCAGGUUUAGUCAGUUGUUAGCCUUUGAAUAAAACUUGCCUGUCGGUA